CCCACAGGCCCCGCCCAGCCCCAGGGCCUGGUCCCUGGAGUUGUGGCAGCUGUCGUAGCAGCAGUCGUGGGUGCGGUGUCCAGCUUCGUGGCCUAUCAGCGGAAGCGCCUGUGCUUCCGGGAGCGUGAGUCCUCUGUGGUCUAGGGCAGGACCCUAGGUCAUUCCCAUGAUGCUCCUCAUGAUGUCACACGAUGCCGGAAGGGCCCUGCUGAGAUGAUUGAGUGAUGUCACCUCUGGUCCUGCACCCAAUCGCAGUGCCUUAUGGGAAGAAAGGAGACUCUGGGUUGGGGGAGGAAUGGGAGGAGCAUAACCAGGAACUUGAAUAAAACCAUCCCAUUUCCCCAUGUCUCUUUCCUCUAUCAAUUGAACUGCUGAGGUGUGGGCGGGGCUUCUGACAUGAUGUCACCAUGACGUCAUCCCACGCGGGGAGUACCCAGCACCCAGUUCCUGGCCCUGCUGACUCAGUCCCAGCACCCACCCCAGGCCUGGCCUGACCGGUCCGAGCAGCCUGCGCACAGCACCCGCCUCCCACUGACUCGGUCUUUCCUCAGUCGGCGUCGUGAGGCCAUGGCAGAGACCCUGACGGCCCCGGGGGCCCGGGUGCUGCUACCUGUGCUCGUGCUGGGGCUCGCGGUGCUCGGGGGCGGAGACGAUGGAGACUUUGACCUUGCGGACGCCCUGGAUCCCGG